AAACAACAAAAAAUAAAGAGUUUAAAAAAUGCUGUCCAGAGCAUUCAAAGUUUUGAAUGUCACUACAAUUCGUCUUCCUUGCAUACUUUCCAACCAAUCCUUGGAUUUUCAGCACAACAAACACACAGGAGCCUCAGGGCCUUGGUGUGACCCAGCACAAAACAGGACAGGACCCACUGCAAAAGGAAACCUUUGUUGGCACAUGGAAACCAUUGUUGCCUUAGGUUUCGUCUCAUAGGUCUGGGGGUUCUAUGCGGGCUCAGGAAAAUAAGGAGAUCCGUUUCCCGAAGACCAAACCCCCACACAGAGUCUUCACCUCUCAAGCCCUCCAUCAUUCUCCCCAGAUAACCAAAUCAAGAUCAUUCAUCCCUUCAACCAUUAUCCUUUCAUUCCUUCAUCCCCUCAUCCCUUCAUCCUCAUCCCUCCAUCCCUAAUAUCUACAUCCCUUCAUCCUCAUCCCUAAUCUCUACAUCCCUUCAUCCCUCAUCCCUUCAUUAAUAAAUCUUCAAACAUAUAUCUUUGUGGCGUGG